GCGCCAUGUGUACCACCCGAGACUCCGGUUUCCCUCCGCCUAGCCCUCCUAUAUCUAAAGGCCUCCGGCGCCACCAUCCUCUCUCUAAGCCGCUCUCCCUGCCCCCCAACACCACCGGAAGCGAUGAGUAGCUGGCGGACGCUUCUGGUAAGGAUCGGUGACAAGUGCCCGGAGUACGGCGGCACCACCGACCUCCAAGAACACAUCGCACUCCCAGGGGCAUUCCCUGCUGUUGAAGCAGGAGCUGUCCGUGCUUUCUUUGACAAAAUUGCUGAUUUGGACAUGGAGUGCUGCAGUAGGCUCAUUUUAUGGUUUUCUCAUCACUUAUUCUUAGGAAUUGUCUCAACAAGACAUGCAAUCGUGUUACCGAUCUUAGGAAGGAAAUCCAAUCACCCAAGAAGAGUGUUCUAUUUGCUGAGGAAGCCACAGUCAAGGCUAUGGCGGAGUAUGAGGCUGCUGAGCCAAAGCUCGAGGUGGUGGAUGGUCAGCCUGUUCAGUCUGAAAAACCAGGAAGGUUAAAACGGCUUAAGGGGUAUGUGGAUAAAGCAAAAGAUGAUAAGACUUCCAUACGAGAAUCUUUAGAAGCUAAGGAUGCUCUUCUUGCUCGAGCACUUGAAGAAAAUAAGAGCUCCAAAGAUGUGCUUAAGAACGCCCGCCUCCUGUGUCUGCUGAUGGAAAGUUGCCCAAACUAAAGGCUGCUAAUGUAGAUUCCGUGGCUGUUGAUUCUGAGCCAUCAACUAUGGAGGUGGACCAUGAUGAUGGAAAAACCAAUAAUAAGCAAGGGAGCAGGAGCAGUGGUGCCUUUGCAUGUUGGGCUAUGCCAAGGCAUUUUCGAGGCAAUAUGCAAGCGAGGUUAGUCUAUCUCUUCAAAAAUAUCAGGCAAAUGUUAAAGGUUACACAUCUCCUAUCCAAUUAUUGUACUGUGAUUUGUUGUGGACAGGUGAUUGUCCUCUUUUUUUGUUUGUUUGUGGGUUGGGGGUUGGUGUGUCUGUGUUGGGUGGGGUGGG